AUUUGAGAGUCUUGCUUGUUCAUUAUUGAUAUUGAUUGUUAACUGGAAUUAGGAUAAUAGAGGAUUCAACGAUUGUGUGAAAUGAUUGAUGCUAAGAACUGCUAUAUAUAUAUGUAUAUACAUAGUUAUGAGUAGGGACUAUGUGAUGAGGGUGUGAGUUCAGAGAUGUCUGAGCUUCGACGUUACGGUGUGGUAUGGGCGUGAGUUCAGAGACGUUUGAGCUUCGACGCUACUGUUUGGGGCGUGGUGCAGAGACGUUUGCAUUCGACGCUACGAUGGGCGGGGGUACAGAGACAGACUGUACUAGCGACGCUUCGAGUAUAUGUAUAUAUCCUUAUGAGGAGAUGCGUGGUGCAGAGAGUAGCUAUGUAUUAUAAGCGCAUGAGUUGUAGCGGCUAGUCCUCUAGCCGAAUAUUGAUUGUUAUGUGUGGUGUAAUAGGCACCGUGUUUGUUUCAUGCUAGAGCUAGGCCUACAUUUUAGUAGUGCUAUGAACUCAGUCUGUGGUUUGCGGUUUAGCAUCCCAUACCUCGCUGAGCGAUUCCCCUGUCGCUCACCCCUCCUUCUUCCCCCUUUCAGGUGAGACCGACGAGCAGGAGUGAUUAUCGGACCGGUGCUAUUGGGCUUUUGGGCUUCUAUCGUUUUUACCUUUUAUCUUUAUCGGGCCUUUAGGCCUUUGGACUUUUAUCGUUUAUGUUAUUCCUAUUUCAGACUUUCGGUUUAUGUCGUAUUUUAUAUUUCGGAUGUUAUCGAUGUUGGGUUUUUAGGCCUUUUGGUAUCGUAUUGACUUUUAUAUUAUGAUAUGAAGAUUAUUAUUAUUUGAGUUGUAUUAUUAUUUUAUUUCCACUUUUAUCAAUUUAUUAUAUUUCGAAAGUAGCGGGUGCCACAUUUUGGUAUCAGAGCUAUUUACUUAUCGCAACAUUUUAUUAUGUAAAUCGGGGUGUCACAAUUUGGUAUCAGAGCGGGUUCCGUCCCGGCUCCGACCCGGGACGGCGAUUUUGGAGACUCGGUUUUAUUCGGUUUUGACGGUUUUAGACAAUUUCAAAAUAUUUUCGGAGAUUUGGGAAUUUUGAAAAUGAAAAUAAAUCGCAUCUUUCCGUUCGGUAUCACUCCUUUCUAAUCCAAUUGUCUUUUUAUUGACUAUAAGUUACUCAUCGUCAUCCGCUCUUAGCUAACAGGAUUUCAGCCAUAUGUUCGACAUAUGGAUGAUGAUGUCACAAUUGAACGGAUUGCUCAGGUGUGUAUCAGUUUCGUCAGCUUAUGCCAUGAAUUCGGGGACGAAUUCCUUAUAAGUGGGGGAGAAUUGUAAUGACCCACCACUCCCACCAUCUCCACUUCUUUCUCCAACCCCACCACUUCUACCUUCUUCUCCACCAUCUCCACCUUCUUACCCAUCAUCUCCAUCUUCUUUAAAGCUUGAGAAAGAGAGAGAGAAGAAGGAGAAGAAGGAAGAAAGCUCACCUGAGCUCGUCGCCGGAGCAACCGUGCGCCGUGACCACGUUCAGCUUGCCACCACCGAUAAACACCCUAGACUACCAUCGUGUUCCUCUCGUCGAGACGAAUCCGUAGCCACCAAAAACGCCUCAAUCGGAGUCCGGACGAAGCCGCACGCGCCUCCGGAAGUUUCGCCUCUGCGCGCGCGUGAGGUACACGCGCCGCUGCCGGACCACCGUCCCCCGCCGCCGGAAUAUCCGCCGUCGCCGCCGUUGACCAUCGCCGGUAACUCGCCGGUGACUCGGUCAACUCGUCCGAGUCAACUCAGUGAGUCAACUCGGUUGACUCGGUUAACCGAUCGGUUAGCCGGUUUAAAUUGAUUUCGGUUCGGUUAGGGUAAACCGAUCGGUUAGGACAAAUUGAUUUCUGGUCAAGGGUUGACCGGAUUGACCUUUGACCAAUUUGGAGUCCAUUUGAGCAGCUGGAGGUCAUAUAUACCACUUCUCUUCAUUGCUAAGGUGAGACCGACGAGCAGGAGUGAUUAUCGGACCGGUGCUAUUGGGCUUUUGGGCUUCUAUCGUUUUUACCGCUUUUAUCUUUAUCGGGCCUUUAGGCCUUUGGACUUUUAUCGUUUAUGUUAUUCCUAUUUCAGACUUUCGGUUUAUGUCGUAUUUUAUAUUUCGGAUGUUAUCGAUGUUGGGUUUUUAGGCCUUUUGGUAUCGUAUUGACUUUUAUAUUAUGAUAUGAAGAUUAUUAUUAUUUGAGUUGUAUUAUUAUUUUAUUUCCACUUUUAUCAAUUUAUUAUAUUUCGAAAGUAGCGGGUGCCACAUUUUGGUAUCAGAGCUAUUUACUUAUCGCAACAUUUUAUUAUGUAAAUCGGGGUGUCACAAUUUGGUAUCAGAGCGGGUUCUGUCCCGGCUCCGACCCGGGACGGCGAUUUUGGAGACUCGGUUUUAUUCGGUUUUGACGGUUUUAGACAAUUUCAAAAUAUUUUCGGGGAUUUGGGAAUUUUGAAAAUGAAAAUAAAUCGCAUCUUUCCGUUCGGUAUCACUCCUUUCUAAUCCAAUUGUCUUUUUAUUGACUAUAAGUUACUCAUCGUCAUCCGCUCUUAGCUAACAGGAUUUCAGCCAUAUGUUCGACAUAUGGAUGAUGAUGUCACAAUUGAACGGAUUGCUCAGGUGUGUAUCAGUUUCGUCAGCUUAUGCCAUGAAUUCGGGGACGAAUUCCUUAUAAGUGGGGGAGAAUUGUAAUGACCCACCACUCCCACCAUCUCCACUUCUUUCUCCAACCCCACCACUUCUACCUUCUUCUCCACCAUCUCCACCUUCUUACCCACCAUCUCCAUCUUCUUUAAAGCUUGAGAAAGAGAGAGAGAAGAAGGAGAAGAAGGAAGAAAGCUCACCUGAGCUCGUCGCCGGAGCAACCGUGCGCCGUGACCACGUUCAGCUUGCCACCACCGAUAAACACCCUAGACUACCAUCGUGUUCCUCUCGUCGAGACGAAUCCGUAGCCACCAAAAACGCCUCAAUCGGAGUCCGGACGAAGCCGCACGCGCCUCCGGAAGUUUCGCCUCUGCGCGCGCGUGAGGUACACGCGCCGCUGCCGGACCACCGUCCCCCGCCGCCGGAAUAUCCGCCGUCGCCGCCGUUGACCAUCGCCGGUAACUCGCCGGUGACUCGGUCAACUCGUCCGAGUCAACUCAGUGAGUCAACUCGGUUGACUCGGUUAACCGAUCGGUUAGCCGGUUUAAAUUGAUUUCGGUUCGGUUAGGGUAAACCGAUCGGUUAGGACAAAUUGAUUUCUGGUCAAGGGUUGACCGGAUUGACCUUUGACCAAUUUGGAGUCCAUUUGAGCAGCUGGAGGUCAUAUAUACCACUUCUCUUCAUUGCUAAGGUGAGACCGACGAGCAGGAGUGAUUAUCGGACCGGUGCUAUUGGGCUUUUGGGCUUCUAUCGUUUUUACCGCUUUUAUCUUUAUCGGGCCUUUAGGCCUUUGGACUUUUAUCGUUUAUGUUAUUCCUAUUUCAGACUUUCGGUUUAUGUCGUAUUUUAUAUUUCGGAUGUUAUCGAUGUUGGGUUUUUAGGCCUUUUGGUAUCGUAUUGACUUUUAUAUUAUGAUAUGAAGAUUAUUAUUA